UUCCGAGCGACCGAUGGAGAUGGCGGCUGCGGCUGAGUGACGGACGGUGGAGGCCCAGAGCCCGGGCCUGAAGGGGGGGACAAACCUGGGUGCCCGCAGGAGCCCGGCAGGGUACUGUGCUAAACCCUGGGGAGACGGCGAAGUGGAAAACAUAUAGAGUCUGUGCCCUCCCAGAUUUUACAGUCUUACUUGGUCACUUCACGUAUGUACCUGCGGUUAUAAAUUGAGAUGAGUGCUGUGAAGGAGAAGUCCAUUCUGAUGCUCUGAGUGUCUUACAAGUAUCAAGAACUUACUAUAUGUGGUUGAAUAAACAAUCAAGGUAAAGAGCAUCAAGUAAAAACUUCUGCUUGUUGAUAAGUACUUCAGACAUUCCCCCAGUGGCUGAAGUGGCAUAUGAAUUAUGAAGUUGGAUCAUUUGGAAUGAAUGUAAGAGAAUUGCCAAGGGCUCCUCCUACUCCAGAGAGGAAACCUCAUCCAGGGCCAUGAAGCCACUUCCUCACCAUCUGUGUGCUGCUUAAGCUAAUGCUGCGGGAACCAUGGUUCCUUGGGAGGAAUCAAGCUGACUCUUGGCAUGAGAUUCCUGCCUUCCUAGGGUUGAGAGCGGCACUGCCAUGGCUUCUCUGGACGACCCAGGGGAAGUGAGGGAGGGCUUCCUCUGCCCUCUGUGCCUGAAGGAUCUGCAGUCUUUCUAUCAGCUUCACUCACAUUACGAGGAAGAACACUCAGGGGAAGACCGUGAUGUCAAAGGGCAAAUUAAAAGUCUUGUCCAGAAGGCUAAAAAAGCAAAGGACAGGUUGUUGAAACGAGAAGGGGAUGAUCGAGCAGAGUCAGGGACCCAAGGAUAUGAGUCUUUCAGCUAUGGAGGGGUUGAUCCUUACAUGUGGGAACCCCAGGAGCUUGGUGCUGUGAGAAGCCAUCUUUCCGACUUCAAAAAACACCGAGCUGCUAGAAUUGACCACUAUGUUGUGGAAGUCAAUAAACUAAUAAUCAGGUUAGAGAAGCUCACUGCAUUUGACAGAACAAAUACUGAGUCUGCAAAGAUUCGAGCAAUAGAAAAGUCUGUGGUGCCUUGGGUCAACGACCAGGAUGUCCCUUUCUGUCCAGACUGUGGGAAUAAGUUCAGCAUCCGGAACCGCCGCCACCACUGCCGCCUCUGCGGGUCUAUUAUGUGCAAGAAGUGUAUGGAGCUCAUCAGCCUUCCCUUGGCAAACAAGCUCACCAGUGCCAGCAAGGAGUCCCUGAGCACCCACACCAGCCCCAGCCAGUCACCCAACAGUGUCCAUGGCUCCCGCCGAGGCAGCAUCAGCAGCAUGAGCAGUGUCAGCUCGGUCCUGGAUGAGAAGGACGAUGACCGGAUCCGCUGCUGUACACACUGCAAGGACACGCUGCUCAAGAGAGAGCAGCAGAUUGAUGAGAAGGAGCACACACCUGACAUCGUGAAGCUCUACGAGAAAUUACGACUUUGCAUGGAGAAAGUUGACCAGAAAGCUCCAGAAUACAUCAGGAUGGCAGCAUCAUUAAAUGCUGGGGAGACAACCUACAGUCUGGAACAUGCCAGUGACCUUCGAGUGGAAGUGCAGAAAGUGUAUGAGCUGAUAGACGCUUUAAGUAAGAAGAUCUUAACCUUGGGCUUGAACCAGGACCCUCCACCACAUCCAAGCAAUUUGCGGCUGCAGAGAAUGAUCAGAUACUCAGCUACACUUUUUGUGCAGGAAAAGUUGCUUGGUUUGAUGUCACUGCCAACCAAAGAACAGUUUGAGGAACUGAAAAAGAAAAGGAAGGAGGAAAUGGAGAGGAAGAGGGCCGUGGAGAGACAAGCUGCCCUGGAGUCCCAGCGAAGGCUUGAGGAAAGGCAGAGUGGCCUGGCUUCUCGAGCGGCCAACGGGGAGGUGGCAUCUCUCCGCAGGGGCCCUGCCCCCUUGAGAAAGGCUGAGGGCUGGCUCCCACUGUCAGGAGGUCAGGGGCAGAGUGAGGACUCAGACCCGCUCCUCCAGCAGAUCCACAACAUCACAUCAUUCAUCAGGCAGGCCAAGGCCGCGGGCCGCAUGGAUGAAGUGCGCACUCUGCAGGAGAACCUGCGGCAGCUGCAGGACGAGUAUGACCAGCAGCAGACAGAGAAGGCCAUCGAGCUGUCCCGGAGGCAGGCUGAGGAGGAGGACCUGCAGCGGGAACAGCUGCAGAUGUUGCGUGAACGGGAGUUGGAACGAGAAAGGGAGCAGUUUCGGGUGGCAUCCCUGCACACACGGACUCGGUCCCUGGACUUCAGAGAAAUCGGCCCUUUUCAGCUGGAGCCCAGCAGAGAGCCUCGCACCCACCUUGCUUAUGCUUUGGAUCUAGGCUCUUCCCCAGUUCCAAGCAGCACAGCUCCCAAGACCCCUUCACUUAGCUCAACUCAACCCACCAGAGUGUGGUCUGGGCCCCCAGCCGUUGGCCAGGAGCGCUUACCCCAGAGCAGCAUGCCACAGCAACAUGAGGGGCCCUCCUUAAACCCCUUUGAUGAGGAAGACCUCUCCAGCCCCAUGGAAGAGGCCACUACUGGUCCUCCUGCUGCAGGGGUUUCCUUAGACCCUUCAGCCCGCAUCCUGAAAGAGUACAAUCCUUUCGAGGAAGAGGACGAGGAGGAGGAAGCAGUGGCAGGGAAUCCAUUCAUUCAGCCAGACAGCCCAGCUCCUAACCCCUUCAGUGAGGAAGACGAACAUCCCCAGCAGAGGCUCUCAAGCCCUCUGGUUCCUGGUAACCCCUUUGAGGAACCCACCUGUAUCAACCCCUUUGAGAUGGACAGUGACAGUGGGCCAGAGGCUGAGGAGCCCAUAGAGGAAGAGCUCCUCCUGCAGCAGAUCGAUAACAUCAAGGCAUACAUCUUUGAUGCCAAGCAGUGCGGCCGCCUGGAUGAGGAAGUUUGUGUUUUUCAACAUACCUCAGAUUCAAUACAAAAACCCUUGGGUGCAGAUCAUGAUGUUUAAGAACAUGACGCCGUCACCCUUCCUGCGAUUCUACUUAGAUUCUGGGGAGCAGGUCCUGGUGGAUGUGGAGACCAAGAGCAAUAAGGAGAUCAUGGAGCACAUCAGAAAAAUCUUGGGGAAGAAUGAGUGAGUUGUUUGGUUUGACCUGGAAGGAACAAACUUCUCAGCCCAGAGAAUUUGAGGAAGAAAGGGGUGUGUGGGAAGGGUGUUGAGAGGGAAACCCUCAGGGAAGAGGAGGAGGAGAAAAAGCAGCUUUCUCACCCAGCCAACUUCGGCCCUCGAAAGUACUGCCUGCGGGAGUGCAUCUGUGAAGUGGAAGGGCAGGUGCCCUGCCCCAGCCUGGUGCCAUUACCCAAGGAGAUGAGGGGGAAGUACAAAGCCGCUCUGAAAGCCGAUGCCCAGGACUAAGGCCCACGGUCACUGUGGGCUGGGGUGAUGGUGUCUGACCAGUGGGGAGAUUGGAAUGGGAUUACUUUGGCCCAGGGAAGCCCCUGGUUCUGUCCCUGGAGACUCUGGAAAUCCUUUUGCAUUAAAAGGACUUUACACACCUGUGUAAAAGGAUGUGGGAGAGGAGGGUCUGAAGCUGAGCUGCUAAAUGAAUAUCCCUGCUCUGC
rnacentral:lncRNA from 1 species